rnacentral:rRNA from 1 species
GACGAACGCUGGCGGCGUGCCUAAUACAUGCAAGUAGGACGCAGUUGCGAACGGGUGUGUAACACGUAGGUAACUAACUAUUAGUGGGGGAUAACUAUUGGAAACGAUAGCUAAUACCGCAUACUAGUAGAUGGACCUACGCUGUAUUAGCUAGUAGGUAGGGUAAUGGCCUACCUAGGCAACGAUACGUAGCCGACCUGGUAGGGGGAAAGGCCACACUAGGACUGCGAGAAGGACCAGACUCCUACGGGAGGCAGCGGAAGGGAGUCCUCGCGAAUGGGGGGAACCCUGGCAGAGCAAGGCGGCGUGAGUAAGGAAGGGUUACGGAGCGUAAAGCUCUUUUGUUGAGGGAGCGGUACUUAACCAGAAAGGGACGGCUAACUACGUGGCAGCAGCCGCGGUAAUAC